UGUUCCAUUGGCAAGCUACAAUAAUGGGGCCAAAUGACAGUCCCUAUCAGGGUGGAGUAUUUUUCUUGACAAUUCAUUUUCCAACAGAUUAUCCCUUCAAACCACCUAAGGUUGCAUUUACAACAAGAAUUUAUCAUCCAAAUAUUAACAGUAAUGGCAGCAUUUGUCUUGACAUUUUACGGUCACAGUGGUCUCCAGCACUAACUAUUU